AGUCGGGCCGGGCAGGUACCUCGCCAACCCGGUCAGGUCCGGAAGGAAGCAGCCGUAACGAAUUCGUCCUGGGUCGCGCCCGGCUCCC
rnacentral:SRP_RNA from 2 species